UUGUUUUGAAAGGAGCUGUCGCCUCUGGUGGAGAGGCGGAGGAAAGCAGCCCAGGACUGGCUGGGUUUGUUCAGGGCUCUCCAAAAAUCAGUAAACACAUAUUUAAAGAUAAAUGAGUAGCCAAGCCAGUGUUGCUCAGUGGUUGAGCGUGGACCUGGGAACCAGGAGGUCAGGGUGGGAUUCCUGGGGAGGGCACAUGUCCGGGUUGUGGCUCCAUCCCCAGGAGGGACAUGCAGGAGGUCGCCCAUCCAUGGUUCUCUCUCACCAUCGAUGUUUCUGUCCCUCCCUUCCCCUUCCCCUCUGAAGUCAAUAAGAAUACAUUUAUAAAUAAAUUUUAAAAAAUAAAAUUGUACUUUAUGCUGCGGUUUUAUAAAAUGGUGCUAAUGGUAGGUAGCAGUUUUGUUGUUUUGCUAAUAUCCUUAUUUGACAAAAUUAAAGUUGACAUUUUAUCUGCCCUCUUUUUUUUUUUUUAACUUUUAUAAGCUUUUGAAAUCCCACACUCUGGAACCCAUUCGUUUAAAUGACUUUUAGAAGGCCUUCCACUGAGAGUCUAUGAUUUUGUGUAUAUAUUUGAUGUCUCCGCAUUUGUUUCCAGCACUGACAAUACCCAGCAAAAUGAUAUGAGUGGCCAUAGCCUUUUCAAAUGUUAUUUCAUUUUACUCCAUCUUAAGAUGUAAGUUUGUCAGACUUAAGAAGGACAAAGCCUCAGCAAUUGAAGAAUUACCUGUUUGAGGUGCUGUUAUUUUAAAGGUUCAAGACAUUCUUUGCUUAUUGAAUCAGCAGCAGCUUUGGUGUAAUGGAAGGAGUCUUCUAAAAUGUGCCAAAAUGCAAUUUCUAACUCCUGGAUCAGAUGAAUUCACUGAAAAUAUAAUCAAAAUUCCUUCCCCCCUCUGCUGUGAUUCAGAAGGUUUUGUGAAAGUGGACUCUAUCUAUGACAGCAACUUCAAACACAUUUGAGAUAUUCCAUGAACAUUUCUUACUUUUUAUGUUGUCAUUAACCAUAAAUUUAUUUCAAUCAAUUUUAUUUGAACUUAUACUUUUGACCCAUAAGGCUUCAAGACUCUAAAAAUGAAUAAAUUCCAUGUGUAUGCUACUCAAUGAUCUUUUAAUAAUCAUAUAUAUAUAUAUAAUAUUCACUAUUCUUUUCCUUAUAAAAAUGACAAAUAUUCACUUGAAAAUUUUAAGUAAAUCAGAAAAAAGAAAACAAAAAUCUCUUAGAGCCCUAACUGGUUUGGCUCAGUGGAUGGAGCAUCAGCCUUCGGACUGAAGGGUCCCAGGUUCAAGUCCGGUCAAGGGCAUGUACCUUGGUUGAGGGCACAUCCCCAGUAGGGAGUGUGCAGGAGGCAGCUGAUUGAUGUAUCUCUCUCAUCGAUGUUUCUAA